UACAGAGGAUGCAAGCGUUAUCCGGAAUGAUUGGGCGUAAAGCGUCUGUAGGUGGUUUCAUAAGUCUACUGUCAAAGAUCAGGGCUUAACCCUGAGCAGGCAGUAGAAACUAAGAAGCUUGAGUACGGUAGGGGCAGAGGGAAUUCCCGGUGUAGCGGUGAAAUGCGUAGAUAUCGGGAAGAACACCGGUGGCGAAAGCGCUCUGCUAGGCCGCAACUGACACUGAGGGACGAAAGCUAGGGGAGCGAAUGGG
rnacentral:rRNA from 1 species